rnacentral:rRNA from 1 species
UACGGAGGGUGCGAGCGUUAUCCGGAUUCACUGGGUUUAACGGGUGCGUAGGUGGGAAUGUAAGUCAGUGGUGAAAUCUCCGUGCUUAACACGGAAACUGCCAUUGAUACUAUGUUUCUUGAAUUUUCUGGAGGUUAGCGGAAUAUGUCAUGUAGCGGUGAAAUGCUUAGAUAUGACAUAGAACACCGAUUGCGAAGGCAGCUAACUACAGGGAUAUUGACACUGAGGCACGAAAGCGUGGGGAUCAAACAGG